rnacentral:rRNA from 1 species
GUGCCAGCCGCCGCGGUAAUACGUAGGGGCUAGCGUUGUCCGGAAUCAUUGGGCGUAAAGCGCGUGUAGGCGGCCCGGUAAGUCCGCUGUGAAAGUCGGGGGCUCAACCCUCGGAUGCCGGUGGAUACUGUCGGGCUUGAGUGCGGAAGAGGCGAGUGGAAUUCCUGGUGUAGCGGUAAAAUGCGCAGAUAUCAGGAGGAACACCGAUUGCGAAGGCAGCUCGCUGGGACGUGACUGACGCUGAGACGCGAAAGCGUGGGAGCAAACAGGAUUAGAUACCCUGGUAGUCCACGCUGUAAACGAUGGGCACUAGGU